AGGAUAAUAGCUCAGUGGUAGAGCGCAUGCUUAGCAUGCACAAGGUCCUGGGUUCAAUCCCCAGUACCUCUG
rnacentral:tRNA from 1 species